AAACCACACUGCAGCCAGGGCUGGGGGGCGGCGGCGGGGAGGGAGAGCAAAUAAUUCCCUCCCUGACUUUUUCCUCUUAGCUUUGUCUCCUGUGGGAAUAAAGAAGCUGAUUCCAAUUUAUUUCAGCUACUGCCUGGCUUUAGGAAGUACUGCGCCUGUCAGUCCACCUUGCUUAAGUAAAGUCCUUACCCUGUAACGCCUUGAAUUCUUAAAAUAAGACAUGUUUAGUCUCCGAAGCAACUAUUGCAAGCAACUCCUGUCUUUUCUCUCCAAAAGAAGCUGAGUCUUUUGAAUGGCUGGUGCCACCACAUCCUCCAGGCGGUUUUCAUACUUGGCAUGGAACUUUUAGUCAUCUCGCAUAUUCCCUUUGUUUUGAUUAGUCAACGAGUGAUAAGUUGACAACAUUCAAAUGGGAACACUUGAGGAGAGGGGUGGUGGGGAGGAGGAAAUCGUGCAGCCAGCACCCCCCCUUAAUUAAAAAGAAAUACACUUUUUUUUUUCCUUUUAAAAGCUUGAUUAUUUCUGCCCUGAGAGGAGCAAAGGUGAACUUGAAAAAUCACACCCCAAACCACGUCUUGGAAUCUCUGAAUCCGCUGUCGAAAUCUCCGGAAAGAUCGGAAAGAUCGUGUGAGCUGUGCAUAGCUGAGAGUAAAUACGCAGAUUUCUCCUCCCUCAGGACACAAGCACGGCUGUUCCGUCCACGGAGCUGGGCAGCUGGGCAGCUGGGCAGCUGGGUGGUGGGCCUGGCAGAUAAAGCAUGCUUGUUCUAUUUACGGAGGAAGCAUGGAUUUGUGAGCUCUCUACAUGCAUGGGUUUCUUUUCGGAUCUCUUCUUAUCCUUAAAAUUCUCUUCCCCUCUGGAACCAAAGCAAAGUCUGAGUUCCCACUCAUGUUUUCUUUCUUUUCCCCUUCUCUACCUUUAAAUUACAGGACUAAAAUCAGGCCUGCAGAUGAAGUGAUAUGCAAAAGCACAUCUGACAUUCAUUAUUUCUUCAUUAUUACUUACUAGUCCUUGUUGUUAUUGUUGUUAACAUGAUAUUUGCUGAGGACCUUGUAUGUUCUGGACUCUAUGCAGAAAUGGUUGCAUAUAUCAUAGUUUACUGGGGAAACACAAUACACAAGUUCUAUAGUUUUAUUUACGACAAGCAUUAUAAGAUGCCUCUUAAUUGCUAUUAACCUUCACUCAACGUCUCACAGUAGUCCAUGUAUGAAGGUUUCGCUAAGGAAAUGAUGCUUUAGCUGGGACACAAAGGAUGAGUGAGAUUUAAGGAGGUCUGUAAAGGUGAGAAGAUGCUUUUGAGCAGAGUGAGCCAGUAAAGUCAGCCUUUCUGGGGGGAAGAUGGAGAAGUGAAGAGGCAGGCUGAGCGGUGCCUGGAGUGCUGGAUGGCUCAGGCUGAAGCUUUAUUUUGGGGGUCAUGUGAAAUCCACGUAGUAAGCAAUGGAAGAAGGAGCAGGGCAGAGGAGCAUGAGGAAGAGAAGUGGAGACUCCUGUUGUGGCCCUGACAACAGAUCGUGGAGGUCAGAGGGAACAGAAUUGCUUGGUUAAAUGACUUCAUGACAUGUCAUACAAGGACUUGGUCUUGAAGCUUAGCUGAGUGAUGUUCUUGAGGCUGAUCUGCACGAAGAUCACAUGCUGUCCAGAGCCCUCAAGGAUGAUAGUAAGAACGGCAAGGCGAUCAGGAAACAAGGCCCGUUGAAAGAAAGACGUUGGUAGCCUUGGUGUGAGAGACACGUAUGAAGUAAUGGAGACUUGAACAAAUGUCACUUACACAUACAGUGAACUGACUUUGGACCAAAAGAACCUUUCCACUUAGGUUUAACUUGGUGAACCAAUGAAUUCAUUUGGGUUUGCUUAUGGAAUCAUGGGUAAACGGUCAUUAUUAGGAGUGAACCCUGUACAGACAUACCAUCAAAAAAUGUGACCUCAGAGUGGAUGAUGGUGUCCCCAUGAUUCGAUCAAAGGAGUUCCCCUCCAGUUAAUGUUAACCUCCCAAUGUCUAUGUAUACUCUAGUACUUCCCAAGACUUCUGUGUAGUGGGCCAGAAUUACAUCCAGCUGGAAGGGGGCACAAGUGUAAGGGAAUAGCUAGAAAGCCUGUUAGGAGCCUAAGGAUCCUCUCUCCCUCUCCUUUUUAUGAGAGAACGGCAGCAGGCCCAGCUUACUGAAGGUCUCUGCGGGGUGAUCACAGCUGCUGUGAUGAAGACAAUAAUGGCUGGUAUAUUGGGACAGAGUUCACAACAGGGAGACAGUCUGAAGACCACAGGAUACUGAGACUCAAAUUCAGGGGAUAAAACACUUAGCCCUCUAGGCUGCUUGGAGCCGGGGUGAACUCUGACUAGGAGCUGUGAUGCCAUCUGUCAAUUGUACAUGAAGUAUCUGAGAGAGAAGGAGAAUCAAGUUUCUUUGUCUAAAGGCAAAGAAAAGUCCAGGCCCAUCUCCCCAGCCCUGCCUGCCUGCUUGGGUAAUAUUUUGAGCUUAAGCAAGAAUUUCUAUCUUCUCUCUAUAAUCCCUAGAUCGGUGUACUAGCUUAAUGCAAUUUAACACAAUUCCAACCUUCGAAGGAAAAUGUCUCUAAAAUUAUCUGGAACAUUAAAUAGGUGAAAAUAGCUAAUACAAUUUUGAAAAAUGAAAGUAAUGAGGGGUUCUUCUCACAUAAUAGAGAAUGCAUUCUAUUCUAUAACAUGGACUAUAUUAUGUGAAGUAAAGGGAGAGAGCAUGUGGACAGGUAAAUGGGAAAAUAGAUCAUUACAGGAAACUUAGGUCCACGUUGUGAUAUAUAGGAAAACUUAAUCAUGUCAGUGCAUACAUCACAAUGAUAAGAAAAGAAGAAUAGUUUAAUUAGUAGAUAAAAUUUUGCCAUAUAUUAAAAAAUAUUGAAGUUCUUAGCACUUACCAUGUAGCAAAAUUCUUUAAAAAAAUGAGUGUGCUAGUAUGUAGAUUAGAUUAAACUACAUCCUAAAAGAUACAACUUUGUUACAACAUCCUUAGGAACUUGGCACUUCACAUUUACACAUGCAUGUGAAUUUAAAUUUUGGUGAUUUAAAUGUAAAUCAAUUUUAACUGAUAAAAGAUAGUUAUGCUGUGUUGCAUUAUGAUUUUGUGUAGAUAUAUAUCAUAUGCAUUAACUCAUGUACUUUUGUGGUGAGAAUACUUACUCUCUACCUUAUUUGAUCU